UGGGGAAUAUUGCACAAUGGGCGCAAGCCUGAUGCAGCGACGCCGCGUGAGGGAUGACGGCCUUCGGGUUGUAAACCUCUUUCAAUAGGGACGAAGCGCAAGUGACGGUACCUAUAGAGGAAGGACCGGCCAACUACGUGCCAGCAGCCGCGGUAAUACGUAGGGUCCGAGCGUUGUCCGGAAUUACUGGGCGUAAAGAGCUCGUAGGUGGUUUGUCGCGUUGUCGGUGAAAACUCACAGCUUAACUGUGGGCGUGCGGGCGAUACGGGCAGACUAGAGUACUGCAGGGGAGGCUGGAAUUCCUGGUGUCGCGGUGGAAUGCGCAGAUGUCAGGAGGAACACCGGUGGCGGAGGCGGGUCUCUGGGCGGUAACUGACGCUGAGGAGCGAAAGCGUGGGGAGCGAACA
rnacentral:rRNA from 1 species